GGAGAGGGAGGUCCUGAGCUCUUCUCCCUGGUAUCCACCGAUAGGAGGUAUGGAAGUGGUUCAAAGCUGUGCCAGGGGAGGUUUAGACUGUGCAUUAAACACUUCUUUACGGAGAGGGUGGUCAAAGAGUGUAACAGGCUUCCCAGAAAGAUCAUCAAUGCCCCAAGCCCGUCAGCAUUAAAGAGAACAUUUGGACAUGCUUUAACUUGGCUAGCCUUGAAUUGCUCAGGCAGUUGGACUAGAUGAUCACUGUAGGUACCUUCCAACUGAAAUAGUCUAUUCCAUUCUAACAAAACACUUUAUAAUACAUUUGCUUCCUGCCAUAGGAACCUUGGUCUUCAUUUGCAACUAAUUUGAAAAAUGGGGCACUGGCGAUACCAAAAUCUGUGCAGGUGCCAAAUGACCAUUUAUGUUUGGUACGACUGACUCCUCAGCAAAAUCUAUUUACAGGAGGCUUGAAGCCCUCAAAUGCAUCUACUUUUAUUUUCAUGGUGAAACAGUCUUUUGCUAAGCCUAAGUCUAGACUUACUGAUAGAUUAAAUUCAUGGAGCUUGGACAAUAGUGACACAUUACUGAAAGCACUAGAAAUUCCCAAAAAUGCUGCAAUGUGUAACUUGUAUCCAGAAGACUAUAAGCGUCUUUUUGAGGCUUUGCAAAACUCCGAUAUGUUUGCUGAAACUUUGUUCCAUGAUGAAGUCUUGGCAAGUACAAGGAUCAUGAACUUAUAAAUCUAAAGCUUUUGGAAGAUCACCUUUGCUUCUGGAAGAUUACUUUGAUAAAAAGUGAUUUAAAUAAAAUCGGAGAUACUGUUAGCUAGAUGAUUUCCUGUCCAAACAGGAAAAAUUUAGCAAGUAACAAGAGCCCUUCUACAUAGGAUGAAAGUAAUGAUUCAUUUAUCUUUCACAAUCCUGUCUGGAAUCGACAAGCUUUGCACACAAUCCUGUCUGAUAUGGACAAGCUUUGCAACUUUUGCAGGAGCUUAUUAGCUUGUGCUACUGUUGGAUGUACCACUUAAAUGCAACUUUUUGUUACACUGUUGAUGCAUAUUUUCAACAUUUGAAAAAAAUUACCAGACCAAAUUAUCUGUGUGGUUUUUAUUUUAGUGCUUAAUGAUUUGAAUGCCCUUUUGACAGAUUCACAAAAUACAAAGUUCUUUACAACCACUGAGUCUGCUACAUUGUCUGCUUUUCUGAAUUUGCAGCCUAAAGUCAACAUAAUGCUGAUAAAUUAAUUGUGAGUGGUAUGUUAAUAGAAGAUACGGUAAUGACAGGGUGAUAAAACAUUAACUGAGAGUUGCUUUAAAUAAAGAUUGUGUAUGUCCCUGAGGAAAAGUUGUAACAGUUAUUUCUUUUGAAAAUAACAGGGGCAACCUGUACUAGUUUAUAAUAUAAUACACAAACACAUGUGUCUAGGGAUUAUUUUGGGUCUGAAAGUUACCAGAAUAUUCAGUGAUGUAUAAAUGAUUUUAAAAAAUAAAAUCGUCUUACUUGAAACCUUUG